rnacentral:misc_RNA from 1 species
UCAAACUUGGUCAUUUAGAGGAAGUAAAAGUCGUAACAAGGUUUCCGUAGGUGAACCUGCGGAAGGAUCAUUAACGUAUCUCUGACGGGGUGUGUGCUUGCCCUGCUCCGGCCCAAAUGGGUCGUGCAGCGGGUUGGCUGCCCCCGCUCAAACCUCACAAACCCACUGUGAACCUUCACGGCAGAGGGGCCAUGGGCUUACAGCCUUGUCCCUGAUGCCGCACACCAAACUCCAGUUUGUAAAGAAUGUACUGCGGACCUGUGCCGCCUAAACACAUAACAACUUUCAACAACGGAUCUCUUGGCUCUCGCAUCGAUGAAGAACGCAGC